rnacentral:rRNA from 1 species
ACAUGCCUACAACAUAGCUUUAAUGCACCUAGUCCCAUUAGAACUCUAUAGUUAAGCAUGCUCGGGUUAGAGUAUUACUGGGCUGGGUGACCACCUAGGGAUUCCUAGUGUUUUACAUGCC